UUGUACGUAUUAUCAGUUUUAAUAAUUUGUACCGCCAAAUUGAAAAGAAUGCGAAACGAAAAGUUUUAGAAACUAUCCAAUAGAUGGCAGUAGGUGCUGUACGGUCGCACGAAUCAGUCGUUAUUGUGCACGGGUAUAUUCUCGUAGUGUUCAGUUUUUAAUUUUAAUUGUGUUUUUGUUAAUAAAUGAUAGUUAAUUCUAAAAGAAUGGUCAUUUGCUUCUUUUUUAUGUAAGUUUCAUGGAAAAUUCAUAAUAAAGAAAGGAUUAAGAAAAGGAGAAGAUUCAUACUUGUUAAUUGUUUGUUAUCUACACAAUGGAUCUGAUUUUUCAACCUUGAUAUCCCUAUCUUCGGUAUAGGACAGCAUUAUAUACCAGCGUUGCACUCGGCGAGGGUUCGUUCAAAAUGCAACACGUGUAAACCUCUGCGUCGAAUUAGCAAGAGAAAUACGGUUCUAAUGCGAAUUAUUCCACGAUGCGGAUGCUCAUGGAAGAAAGAGGCUCGUGGCGCUACCGAUGGAAGCGGACGAAAGCAUAGCAAGGAGAGAGAGAGAGGGAAAGAGUGUUGCUCAAACAUCCGAGUGUUUAUCACGUCGAGUGAAUGAUUACAACGAUGGGUGAGUAUUAUAUGCAUUUAUUACGCGCGCACGGAUGCGCAUAUACACGUGAAAAGGACAAGUUGGGCGCGUUACGCUAUACGUAAAGACCGACAUAAAUUAUCCGCGUAAUGCGGACGGGGGAGCGUAAUAAUAACAUUGUCGAGUAGCGAGUGAGAAUACACCACCAGGUUUCCCUCGGCAUUCCCAUUCCAUACCGUAGCUCCCAGUUGUCUCAAGGGAUUAACUCGCCUCGUGGAACCCAUGCUAUACGUCUCGUGUUUCCGCUCCAGUGUCUCAAGAAGUCAACCUCGAAAGGUUCAGCCUAGAUAGCUUCGCGUCGUGUUCUGUCUUUUAGUGUACGUAUAGUGUGUGUGUGUGUGUGUACAACUCGUGUGCACGCAUGUGUCAGCACGUGUUAUAUCUAGCGAUGGGAUCAAGUACAAUAUGUAUUUAUAAAUCCAAGUGAAAUCGAACGCAAAACUUUUGUUUCGUAAGAAUUGAAUAUUAUCUUUAUAGUAAGAAG